CAAACUGAGGAAAUCAAAGUGGCUAAGCAAUUGACUGCAUGUGUUGACUUCAGGAUAUCUCAAGGACGAGUUAGAAUCUAUGACACUCAGGGAUGCAUCCUCUGCUUGCUACACAAACUGAGGAAACCAAAGCAGCAAAGCAUUGUACUGCAGAUGUCGACUUCGGAAUAUCUCAUGGACCAGUUAUACUCCUUGAUGCUCAUGUAAAAUUAACUUAUUUUGCUCUCUGCAAUUGCAUAAUAGAACGGUUGAGCUAAACAUCUCGCUGCUGAUAUUUUCAAAUGUAUUGCAACCACUGUACAACCCAUCCAUCGUAAUUGAUAUGUUGAGACUGGAUCGUAGUAGUUGUUCUGCCUCAUCUAUCACUAUCUGCGGGCUUGCUUUGAUUAUGUGUCUCCCAACUUUCUGUAACUAAAAAGCAGCCUGUAAAUGUAGCUUGAAUAAAAAUGGUACCUUUCAGUUUUGUGCAAGUUCAAAGUAUUAGUAGUUUCAGUUUGUCCAAUUUUUGCAGGGAUAUUGUGUGAGGUCUAGUACAAACUUUUAAGACAAUCACUUAAUACAUUCAUGGGAUCACCAACUUUUGGCGUUUGUUGAUACUAGCUAGGUGGGGCCAUGAAUUCCUAGAGGAUUGUGGCAAUUAUCCUGCUUCGCUUGCAAGAUUGGUUUCUAAAAAUAUCAUGGCACCAAGCCGUCCGCUGUUGUCUCUGCCUGAAGAAGGAUUAUGGUUCUCC